rnacentral:rRNA from 1 species
AUGGUCAUGGCGUCGCGUCGUAGCGUGGCGCUGGGGCUCCUCUUCGGCCUCCUGUCCUGCUACGCGCCCGUUGUCCCUUCCGUGGCUUCCUCCGAUGGCUUCCUCCAAUGCAUGUCGGCGGCCAUGCCCAAGCAGCUCCUGCACACGCAGGGCUCGCCUUCGUUCACGUCGGUCCUGGCGUCCUCCAUCCGGAACGCCAAGUUCUCCACGCCUGCCACGGUGAGGCCGCUCUGCAUCGUCACGCCGACGAACGCCUCCCACGUCCAGGCCGCCGUGGUGUGCGGCCGCCGGCACGACGUGCGCGUCCGCGUGCGCAGCGGUGGGCACGACUACGAGGGCCUCUCGUACCGGUCCGAGCGCCGCGAGGCGUUCGCCGUCGUCGACCUGGCCAACCUCCGCUCCGUGCGCGUCGACCGGGAGGCCGCCACCGCGUGGGUGGACUCCGGCGCGACGCUCGGGGAGCUGUUCUACGCCAUCUCGCAGGCGAGCAAGCAGCUGGCGUUCCCGGCCGGCCUGUGCCCGACGAUCGGCGUGGGCGGGCACCUCAGCGGCGGCGGGUUCGGCAUGCUGCUGCGCAAGUACGGCCUCGCCGCCGACAACGUCCUGGACGCCACGCUCGUCGACGCCAACGGGGAGCUCGUGGACAAGCAGGCCAUGGGGCCCGACGUGUUCUGGGCCAUCCGCGGGGGCGGCGGCGGCGGGAGCUUCGGCAUCGUGCUGUCGUGGAAGGUGAAGCUCGUGCCAGUCCCGCCGACGGUGACCAUGUUCACCGUCCUAAAGUCCGUCGACGAGGGCGCGGUGCGCAUGCUCACCAGAUGGCAGCAGGUCGCUCCGGCUCUCCCCGAGGACAUUUUCAUCACGGUGCGCCUCCAAAAACAGGUGGCUCGCUUCCAGUCCAUGUACCUGGGCACGUGCGACGCGCUGCUGCCGCUGAUGGGGAGCCGCUUCCCGGAGCUCGGCGUGAACCGGACGCACUGCAAGGAGAUGACAUGGGUCCAGUCCGUGCCCUUCAUCUACCUGGGCCCCACCGCCGCCGUGGAGGACAUCCUGAACCGGACCACCUCCAGCACCCCCUUCAGCAAGGCCACCUCCGACUACGUCCGGCAGGCCAUCGCCGAGGACGUGUGGGCGGAGAUCUUCGCCCGGAUCGCCAAGCCGGAGGCCGGGCUGAUGAUCAUGGACCCCUACGGCGCCAAGAUGAGCAGCCUCCCGGAGACGGCGACGCCGUUCCCGCACCGCGGCGGCGUGCUGUACAACAUCCAGUACAUGAACUUCUGGUCCGCCGACACGGACGGGUCGGCGCAGACGAGGUGGCUCAAAGACAUGUACGCGUUCAUGGAGCCGCACGUGAGCAAGAACCCCAGGGCGGCGUACGUGAACUACAGGGACCUCGACCUCGGCCAGAAUGUCGUCGUGGGCAACGUCACCAGUUACGAGGCCGGCAGGAUUUGGGGCGAGAAGUACUACGGGGGUAACUUCCGGAGGCUCGCCAUGGCCAAGGCCGUGGCGGAUCCUGACGACUACUUCAGGAACGAGCAGAGCAUCCCACCAUUCAAGGAGUGA